UACGGGGGGGGUAAGCGUUGUUCGGAAUUACUGGGCGUAAAGGGCUCGUAGGCGGCCAACUAAGUCAUACGUGAAAUCCCUCAGCUUAACUGGGGAACUGCGUGUGAUACUGGAUGGCUUGGAUUUGGGAGAGGGAUGCGGAAUUCCAGGUGUAGCGGUGAAAUGCGCAGAUAUCAGGAGGAACACCGGUGGCGAAGGCGGGUCUCUGGGCAACAACUGACGCUGAGGAGCGAAAGCGUGGGGAGCGAACAGG
rnacentral:rRNA from 1 species